UGCCAGCCGCCGCGGUAAUACGGAGGGUGCAAGCGUUGCUCGGAAUCACUGGGCGUAAAGCGUGCGUAGGCGGACUUCCAAGUCGGGUGUGAAAGCCCGGAGCUCAACUCCGGAACUGCAUCCGAAACUGGAGGUCUCGAGUACUGGAGAGGGUAGCGGAAUUCCAGGAGUAGCGGUGAAAUGCGUAGAUAUCUGGAAGAACACCUGUGGCGAAAGCGGCUACCUGGACAGAUACUGACGCUGAGGCACGAAAGCGUGGGGAGCAAACAGGAUUAGAUA
rnacentral:rRNA from 1 species